rnacentral:rRNA from 1 species
CAGCAGCCACGGGAAUACGAAGGGGGCUAGCGUUGCUCGGAAUGACUGGGCGUAAAGGGCGCGUAGGCGGUUUGUACAGUCAGAUGUGAAAUUCCUGGGCUUAACCUGGGGGCUGCAUUUGAUACGUGCAGGCUUGAGUGUGGAAGAGGGUUGUGGAAUUCCCAGUGUAGAGGUGAAAUUCGUAGAUAUUGGGAAGAACACCGGUGGCGAAGGCGGCAACCUGGUCCAUUACUGACGCUGAGGCGCGAAAGCGUGGGGAGCAAACAGGAUUAGAUACCCGCGUAGUCCCUGUCUCUUAUAA